UAAUACGUAGGGGGCAAGCGUUGUCCGGAUUUAUUGGGCGUAAAGAGCGUGUAGGCGGCCAGGUAGGUGGGUUGUGAAAACUGGAGGCUCAACCUUCAGACGUCGACCCAAACCCCCUGGCUAGAGUCCGGAAGAGGAGAGUGGAAUUCCUGGUGUAGCGGUGAAAUGCGCAGAUAUCAGGAAGAACACCCGUGGCGAAGGCGGCUCUCUGGGACGGUACUGACGCUGAGACGCGAAAGCGUGGGGAGCGAACAGGAUUAGAUACCCUGGUAGUCCACGCCGUAAACGAUGGGUGCUAGGUGUGGGAGGUGUCGACUCCUCCCGUGCCGAAGCUAACGCAUUAAGCACCCCGCCUGGGGAGUACGGCCGCAAGGCU
rnacentral:rRNA from 1 species